rnacentral:rRNA from 1 species
UUAAUAUUUAUUUAUUAAUAAUUUUUUUUUAUUAUUAAUUUAUUAAAAAUAAUUAUAAAAUUAAUUGUUUUAGUAUUUUUUAGAGAAGGAAUAAAUUUAAUUAUAGUUAAAUAGUAUUGUGAAAGAAAAUUUAAAUAAUUUGAAAAAUUUUUAGUUUAAAAGUAAAUUUAAUUUAUUGUACCUUGUGUAUCAGGGUUUAUUAAAUAAAGAUUAUUUAAAUAAUUUUCUCGAUUUUAAAAGAGUUAAUAUAUUAUAAAAGUUAUUGUAAUAAAAUUAUUUUAAAUAAUAUAUUAGAAAUGAAAUGUUAUUCGUUUUUAAAGGUAUCUAGUUCUUUAAGAAAUAAAUUUAAUUUAGAUAUUUUAUAUUAUUUAAUUGAUUUAUUAAUUAAAUAAUUAUUUAAUAUUAAUAUUUUAUGGGAUAAGCUAUAAAAUAAAUUUUUAAAAAUAUAAAUAAUAAAUAAUAAAUAUAAAUUUAGAAAUAGUUAUUAUUAAUAAAAAUGUUAUAAUUUAUUUUAUAAUUUAAAUUAUUUAUUAGAUUUUAAAUAAUUAUUAAUGUAUUUAUUUUAAUAAAAAAAAUUUAAUAAUAAUGAUAAAAUUAGUAUAUUAAUUUGUAUAAAUAAAUAUAAAUGAAAAGUUUUUAUAAAGAAUUCGGCAAAAAUAAUAUUCGCCUGUUUAACAAAAACAUGUCUUUUUGAUAUUAAUUUAAAGUCUAACCUGCCCACUGAUUUUAUUAAAUGGCCGCAGUAUACUAACUGUGCAAAGGUAGCAUAAUCAUUAGUCUUUUAAUUGAAGGCUGGUAUGAAUGGUUGGACGAAAUAUUAACUGUUUCAUAAAAAUUUAUAAUAAAAUUUAAUUUUUUAGUCAAAAAGCUAAAAUUUAUUUUAAAGACGAGAAGACCCUAUAAAUCUUUAUAUUUAAAUUAUUAUAAUUUUUAAGAAAGAUUUUUUUAUUAUAAUUAAUAAUAUUUUAUUGGGGUGAUAUUAAAAUUUAAUAAACUUUUAAAAUUUUUUAACAUUAAUUUAUGAAUUAUUGAUCCGUUAUUGACGAUUAAAAGAAUAAGUUACUUUAGGGAUAACAGCGUAAUUUUUUUGGAGAGUUCAUAUUAAUAAAAAAGAUUGCGACCUCGAUGUUGGAUUAAGAUAUAAUUUUAGGUGUAGCUGCUUAAAUUUUAAGUCUGUUCGACUUUUAAAUUCUUACAUGAUCUGAGUUCAAACCGGUGUAAGCCAGGUUGGUUUCUAUCUUAAAAAAAUUAAAAUAUUUUAGUACGAAAGGACCUAAUAUUUGAUAAAUUAUUAUUUUUGUUAAGAAUUUAAUUAAU